UAUGUGAUCGUCUCUCGCAUAUCAAUAAGCGGAGGAAAAGAAACUAACAAGGAUUCCCCUAGUAACGGCGAGUGAAGCGGGAAGAGCUCAAAUUUGAAAUCUUAAAGGGUUUCCCUUUACGAAUUGUAGUUUAAAGAAGUGUUUUCUGUUGAGGUUUUGGUAAAAGUUCUUUGGAAUAGGACAUCAUAGAGGGUGAGAAUCCCGUAUUUGACCUUUACUUUCAACUUUGUGAUACACUUUCAAAGAGUCGGAUUGUUUGGGAAUGCAGUCCAAAAUGGGUGGUAAAUUUCAUCUAAAGCUAAAUAUUGGCGAGAGACCGAUAGCGAACAAGUACCGUGAGGGAAAGAUGAAAAGAACUUUGAAAAGAGAGUUAAACAGUACGUGAAAUUGUCAAAGGGAAGCGUUUGACUCCAGUGUUGUUUUUCUGAAAAUCAAUUAAAGAACUGUUUAUGCUAAGUUGUUUAGACUUUAUCAGCUAAUCUGUUUAGUUUUGAGCUUUUCUUUAAUGCACUUUUCAGUUAACAAGUCAACAUCAAUUUCUUUUGCUGUAAUAAAGCUUGAGGAAGGUGGCUUGAGAUUCGUCUUAAGUGUUUAUAGCCUCUUGCCUAUGCAGUCGGAGAGAUUGAGGUCUGCAGCGUAGAUCCUUCGGGGCUAAAUGCAUUUGUGCUAAGUUAUAACAUUUUAUAGACAACUUGUUGACUAUGAUUUGUCUUGUAGCUUACUCGCUUAUGUUAUUUUACCUACGCUUAGGAUGUUGAAGUCAUCGUAUCGCGC
rnacentral:rRNA from 1 species